CAGCGACUUCAGAGUUUGAUCCUGGCUCAGGACGAACGCUGGCGGCGUGCCUAACACAUGCAAGUCGAACGGAGAUACUUUUGAGGAGACUUCGGUCAACGAGACUGUAUCUUAGUGGCGGACGGGUGAGUAACGCGUGAGCAAUCUGCCUUUCAGAGGGGGAUAACAUUCUGAAAAGAAUGCUAAUACCGCAUAACGUAUUGAGAUGGCAUCUUCUUGAUACCAAAGGAGCAAUCCGCUGAAAGAUGAGCUCGCGUCUGAUUAGAUAGUUGGUGGGGUAACGGCCUACCAAGUCGACGAUCAGUAGCCGGACUGAGAGGUUGAACGGCCACAUUGGGACUGAGACACGGCCCAG
rnacentral:rRNA from 1 species